UACGUAGGGUGCAAGCGUUGUCCGGAAUUAUUGGGCGUAAAGAGCUCGUAGGCGGUUUGUCGCGUCUGCUGUGAAAACGCGAGGCUCAACCUCGCGCCUGCAGUGGGUACGGGCAGACUAGAGUGCGGUAGGGGAGAUUGGAAUUCCUGGUGUAGCGGUGGAAUGCGCAGAUAUCAGGGAGGAGCACCCGUGGCGAAAAGCGGGCUCUCUGGGGAACGGUAC
rnacentral:rRNA from 1 species